UGAUAUAAGGAAGGUGAAGAGAUCGUUUUGUAUCAUACACGGCAGCGUACAUGUAGUAGUGCAUCGUUUGUGUUCACCCAUAGCAACCCAAGUCAUCUUGACGACGCUUGACGUCAUACGGUUUGUUAUGCCAAUUUCUUUCAAGCGCUGGACUUUCAUGUUUAACGCUAAAACAGAUUCAUACAUAGUAGUAGAUUUAUAACCAAUCGAAAUUCAAACCUUACGUUUAAAACAAAUAUCUCGUCACGCUUCAAAAAUAUUAAUUUAUGCGUAUCUUCAAACUGAUUUGAUCGCUGUACGAUAAUACUUGCAAUUAAGUAAAUAUCUGAACUAGUAUCUGAAAUUUCAAAAAAAGGUGGAAUGUCAUUUGUAGAACCCGGUCAUGUGCAAAUUAUGUUUAGCGUAUUGCUAUCGUUCUGGUUUCUAAGGGUGACCUAGAUGUUGUUUCUAAAACGAAAAUAUGAAAAAUUUGCACAACGCCGCUGAAUACUUUAGCAGGAGGGUCCUGGAAAUCCGGCGAAUCUGUUCAACUAAAAAAAUGUACGCGGAAAUGUUGGCAUUCAUAGGAUAUUACCCACCGAAAGGGUGUUUCAUGGUGGACAUUGUGUGAUGUGGUGAAGCGGAUGAAACGUUUCUAUAACGUGAUGGCUGUGGUUUAUGUCUUCAAAAGGCAAAUAAAUUGCUCAAUAACAUUCA